AUUGAAUAAGUCGGUACAGGUGCUUGCCGUUGGAAUCUUAACGCGGUACAGCUUAAUAGGGAAGUCCGGUGCAAGACCGGCGCGGUCCCGCCACUGUAACAGAAGAGUCGCAGCAACCACAGUCACUGGUAUCCAUGCCGGGAAGACUGCUGCCGAUGAUGACGCUGAUAGCCAGGAGACCUGCCUGUAUCCGUAACACGAG
rnacentral:ncRNA from 2 species